UCGUAACAAGGUCUCCGUUGGUGAACCAGCGGAGGGAUCAUUACCGAGUUUACAACUCCCAAACCCCAAUGUGAACGUUACCAAUCUGUUGCCUCGGCGGGAUUCUCUUGCCCCGGGCGCGUCGCAGCCCCGGAUCCCAUGGCGCCCGCCGGAGGACCAACUCCAAACUCUUUUCUCUCUCCGUCGCGGCUCCCGUCGCGGCUCUGUUUUAUUUUUGCUCUGAGCCUUUCUCGGCGACCCUAGCGGGCGUCUCGAAAAUGAAUCAAAACUUUCAACAACGGAUCUCUUGGUUCUGGCAUCGAUGAAGAACGCAGCGAAAUGCGAUAAGUAAUGUGAAUUGCAGAAUUCAGUGAAUCAUCGAAUCUUUGAACGCACAUUGCGCCCGCCAGUAUUCUGGCGGGCAUGCCUGUCCGAGCGUCAUUUCAACCCUCGAACCCCUCCGGGGGGUCGGCGUUGGGGAUCGGCCCCUCACCGGGCCGCCCCCGAAAUACAGUGGCGGUCUCGCCGCAGCCUCUCAUGCGCAGUAGUUUGCACACUCGCACCGGGAGCGCGGCGCGGCCACAGCCGUAAAACACCCCAAAUUUUCUGAAAUGUUGACCUCGGAUCAGGUAGGAAUACCCGCUGAACCUAAGCAUAUCA
rnacentral:misc_RNA from 1 species